rnacentral:rRNA from 1 species
GCCUCGCCUGUUUACCAAAAACAUCGCCUCUUGUUAGCUAAAAAUAAGAGGUCCAGCCUGCCCAAGGACUAUGUGUUUAACGGCUGCGGUAUUUUGACCGUGCGAAGGUAGCGUAAUCACUCGUCUUUUAAAUAGAGACCCGUAUGAAUGGUAAAACGAGGGCUUAGCUGUCUUCUUUUUUAUGUCAAUGAAAUUGAUUUUCUCGUGCAAAAGCGAGGAUAACCUCAUAAGACGAGAAGACCCUGUGAAGCUUUAGAUAAUAUACAGAUUUGGUCAAGGACCCCCUGAUAAGGGAUUUAGUUACUGACUUCUGUUUUAUUGUCUUCGGUUGGGGCGACCACGGGGAGUCAUACAACCCCCGCGUGGAAUGGGUACAAGAGUAUUUUUGUCCUCAGAAUUAAGAGCUUCUGCUCUAAAAAACAGAAUUUCUGACCUUGUAAGAUCCGGCAGCGCCGAUUAACGGACCAAGUUACUCCAGGGAUAACAGCGCCAUCCUCUUUCAGAGUUCUUAUCGACAAGGGGGUUUACGACCUCGAUGUUGGAUCAGGACAUCCUAAUGGUGCAGUCGCUAUUAAGGGUUCGUUUGUUCAACGAUUAAUAGUCCUACGUGAUCUGAGUCCAGACCGG